CCAAAGGCUCUUUUAAGAGCCACUUAAACUCACAGUAAAAAGAGCU
rfam:Picoides pubescens contig35240, whole genome shotgun sequence.